rnacentral:rRNA from 1 species
UGCAGUCGAACGAUGAAGCCGGAGCUUGCUCUGGUGGAUUAGUGGCGAACGGGUGAGUAACACGUGAGUAACCUGCCCUUGACUCUGGAAUAAGCGUUGGAAACGACGUCUAAUACCGGAUACGAGCUUCAGCCGCAUGGCUAGGAGCUGGAAAGAAUUUCGGUCAAGGAUGGACUCGCGGCCUAUCAGGUAGUUGGUGAGGUAAUGGCUCACCAAGCCUACGACGGGUAGCCGGCCUGAGAGGGUGACCGGCCACACUGGAACUGAGACACGGUCCAGACUCCUACGGGAGGCAGCAGUGGGGAAUAUUGCACAAUGGGCGCAAGCCUGAUGCAGCAACGCCGCGUGAGGGACGACGGCCUUCGGGUUGUAAACCUCUUUUAGUAGGGAAGAAGCGAAAGUGACGGUACCUGCAGAAAAAGCACCGGCUAACUACGUGCCAGCAGCCGCGGUAAUACGUAGGGUGCAAGCGUUAUCCGGAAUUAUUGGGCGUAAAGAGCUCGUAGGCGGUUUGUCGCGUCUGCUGUGAAAACUGGGGGCUCAACCCCCAGCCUGCAGUGGGUACGGGCAGACUAGAGUGCGGUAGGGGAGAUUGGAAUUCCUGGUGUAGCGGUGGAAUGCGCAGAUAUCAGGAGGAACACCAAUGGCGAAGGCAGAUCUCUGGGCCGUAACUGACGCUAAGGAGCGAAAGCAUGGGGAGCGAACAGGAUUAGAUACCCUGGUAGUCCAUGCCGUAAACGUUGGGAACUAGAUGUAGGGACCAUUCCACGGUUUCUGUGUCGCAGCUAACGCAUUAAGUUCCCCGCCUGGGGAGUACGGCCGCAAGGCUAAAACUCAAAGGAAUUGACGGGGGCCCGCACAAGCGGCGGAGCAUGCGGAUUAAUUCGAUGCAACGCGAAGAACCUUACCAAGACUUGACAUAUACAAGAACGGGCUAGAAAUAGUUCACUCUUUGGACACUCGUAAACAGGUGGUGCAUGGUUGUCGUCAGCUCGUGUCGUGAGAUGUUUGGGUUAAGUCCCGCAACGAGCGCAACCCUCGUUCUUUGUUGCCAGCACGUAAUGGUGGGAACUCAAAGGAGACUGCCGGGGUCAACUCCGAAGAAAGGUGGGGGAUGACGUCAAAUCAUCAUGCCCCCUUAAGUCUUGGGC